rnacentral:rRNA from 1 species
UGGGGAAUAUUGGACAAUGGGGGCAACCCUGAUCCAGCAAUGCCGCGUGAGUGAAGAAGGCCUUAGGGUUGUAAAACUCUUUCACCCGUGACGAUGAUGACGGUAGCGGGAGAAGAAGCCCCGGCUAACUCCGUGCCAGCAGCCGCGGUAAUACGGAGGGGGCUAGCGUUGUUCGGAAUUACUGGGCGUAAAGCGCACGUAGGCGGCGUAUCAAGUCAGGGGUGAAAGGCCUGGGCUCAACCUAGGAACGGCCUUUGAGACUGAUAUGCUUGAGUUCGGAAGAGGGUAGUGGAAUUCCAAGUGUAGAGGUGAAAUUCGUAGAUAUUUGGAAGAACACCGGUGGCGAAGGCGGCUACCUGGUCCGAUACUGACGCUGAGGUGCGAAAGCGUGGGGAGCAAACA